CUUACUCAAAGCCACUUGCAGUCGAGCUCUGGCAUUUUCAAGCCACUCGAUCUCUUUGUAUCCUCCAAUUUUUUGCCUCCAACUCAAAAUAAGCGCCCAGUCAAAACCACAGUUGCCAUGCAGCUCCUCAGCUUUAGUUUUGCCGUUGCUACAUUGAUGUGCUGCUUGAUAUGCUUGUGCACCGUCACGGCCAACCCUAAUGGCGUGAAGCAAUCGCAAACUACGAAGACGAAAACGACAACGACAUACGCUGCAUACCCCGGAUACGUCGCGGGAGGUUGAUACGCGGAAAACUCGGAAUCAAAAACAUGAGACCUGGACGGCGAAUUAAAAAUAAUUGAUAAAUCA